ensembl:lncRNA
UUUUUUUUUUUUUCGAUUAUAUGAACCCAAAGUAGAAUGGGGCCCUUCGUGGCAGUUUUAUUUCAAUCAAUUGUGAAGCCAUUUAAAAUUCAGCUAAGAUCAGAUACUAAGCCCCAAGCUCUAUACAUCCCACAGGUGUCACAGCAGUUACUACCCCACAGCCUUAAUGUUCAGUUUUGACUAGUGACUCAGUACAGGCAUUUUACAGUAGUGAAUCUAGGCACUUAACACUGUCUAAAGACUAUGAUCACUGCAACGAUCAUACAACUUAUAUUAACUAGGCUGCACAUUUAAGGAUGCUGCUUUGCUUAAAACCCUCAGGGUGCUUAACAGGAGAAAAAAAAAAAAUGCUCUUUUAAGUUACUCUGGCCAUUUUUUACAGUACUUCCUUCUUUUUAUUGUAUGAAGCGUUGGAAGUCAGCAUGCGCAAUAUCCAAUUGCAUCAGAACACCUCUUAAAAAUUCAAUAAAAUAUACAUACACUUUAUACUGUGUUUUGUAGGAACAUAUGAUAUUUCAUUCUGUGCAGUUAGUUAGGUUUCUUUCUACAAAACAUACAUCAACUCUGUCUAUUAAUAUGAUGGCCACUCUCCUGAGUAAACACUGCUGAGAAAAUUUUCAACCAAAACUGCCUGAAUGUACUUGUAAAGCCUCUGUUAUUGCACAGGUUGAUAUUAGAGGCACAGUCCAAGCUGACAGCUCAGUUAAGGUCUCAACACAAUAAAAAUCACAGCUUUUCUGGGAAAGACAAUGUUCAGGUUCACGACUUGGUACCACUCAAGGUUAGACAAGAGAGCAGUACUAUGGGGCAUUUGUAGUCUAAUCCGCUCUUCCAAGUUUCAUAUAUGUAUCCCUCAUCACACUAACUUUUGAAACAACUCCAAGGAAGCCUGCAAGAUAAAGUCGUUAUGCUGUACUCAAAAGUGACACAACUGGACACCAAAUCUCUCCUACCCAGGAGAAGUAUAAGGACAGCAAAAACCUUAAAAUCUGCCAUCAGGUGAAAGAGAGCUCAGAAGGGAUUUUAGGAGGCCACAUUCACUGCUACUGGUGUAUAGAAAUGGAAAGCAACUGCUGCUCAGCUUCAGAAACCUUCAGAAACAACCCCAUAAAGGGUUCUCCCCCUGCAUCAUGAUUGAUCCAUUCCACCAAAUCUACCUCUUUUCCAGUGUCAGAAAUGGAAGUGAAAUGAGCUAAAGAUUUGACCCUGAAGUCUCUUGGGUUCUUCUGAUGUAUCAAAUGGCACUUGUACACUAUGAACAAAAGGAAAUAUCAUCAACAUGAAGACAGAGCACAUAGGGCUUUAUGUUUGCUAAGUUACACUAAGGUGGAUUAAUCAGUAAAUGCUCCUUUACAUAGCUCUUAAUCUGAAACCUUCUGCUGCAAACCAAAAGCACAUAAGUUAUUUUCACUGAACUAAACUGCAAUAUUUUGGCACUCAUAUCACCUCAGGCAAUUAACCAACUUGCUUAUCCAAUUGAACCCUUUCCCCCCCAUUUCUUUCUUCCUACCCCACUUGCAGGACUUGAGGACACCCUGUUCACCCUGGAGAUAGUGAAUCACUACAAGCCAGCAGGCCCACACAGUUCCUCAAAAGACACAAAAGGUGUAAAAAUAGCUGGUACUAAUGAAGCAAGUACAGCGUCAGCAACAAGAUGAGCGUGGGUGAUCAGAUAAGGGUCUGCUGUUGCAAAGGGCAAAUUAUUAAGAGAAUGCUUCUCUCUCUCUUUUUAUUAAGCUUUGUUCUUCCUUCACUGAAAUCAGCCCUCUGCAAUGCAUGAUAAAUGACACCUGACAAGAUUGACUCCUUCUGUAAUUGCAAGUUUCAUACAGGCUCAGGAAGCAGUGCCUCAGUAGAAACUGAAGUGGAGGUGUCACUAAAAAAAAAUAAAUAAAGAGAGGCAAAAAUAAAGCCUAAAAAUAGCCAGGACUACCCACUGAGUAUGACUGUGCGGGUAUAUUUAGCCAGUCUAACACCAACUUUGUUAAAAACACAAUCUUACCUUUAUGCAAAACAGCUUCCUGUUUCUAAACAUAACUUGAGAAACUUGAGAAGAUGAGGGGGGGAAAUUCAGAUUUGGAAACUGUCCCCUUUUUCACCGAGAUUAACAAAAGAUUAAAUGUGAAAAGAUUGGGUAGAACUUCUACCGCAUCCCAACAUCCCAUAACAAAGGGGCAAGAGUUUGUUCUUAAGGCAUCCAUGCUCUGCAAACAGGAGUAGGAAACAGAAGGAGCAAACAUAUUUUCAAGUACUUGCAGGUCUUCAAAACAGCACUGAUGGGGAAGGCAGGGAUUCACCCAGGCUGAGGCCUAGCAGCAGUGCUACGUUAGGCAGCUCCACCUUGCCCCACGUUCCACUGUCCCUUCCACAAUGGCUGAGCCACCUGUGGCCACACCAGCAUGUUUGUGAGCCCCCACUGCAAGAUGGAACACACAAGGACCUAGGGAUAAAAGCUGUAUUUUACAGUUAAAGGUGGGAGGUUAUUUUUUAUUUUUGCUUCUAAUCUGAGACAUUCCAAUGAUCAGGUUUACGGCACAGCUCCUUCACCCCGGCACACAGAAAACUUCUCCAAGGACCAGAAAUGAGGCUCUGGGAGCUGAAGGAAAGUGGAAAUACGCCAUGUCAGACCCACUGCCUAAUUGCACUGCCCUUGAGAGAUGGCUGUGUCCCACCAGAGGCAGAGAUGUAGGCCUUCAUGCUAAUGACAAGCAGUUGGCAGUUUUACAGCUCUAUUCUGCAAGUUUCGCCUACUCUGAGGCCAGUUUACAUCCCUUUAUCAGCACAAAGGAGCUAUUAGAAAGGGUGUAAAUAUAACUUACUGCCAUCUAAGGCACUCCUACAGUGCUUAAUAAAGUGACAUGCGUAUAAAUGACCAUCUGGCCAAGCGAUACAGUUUAUUAUCUUACAAAAAAUAUCAAGAAGCACUUCCAAACAUACAGCUGAAUUUCUCAUUCCCUAAGACAUGCACUGCACUUAUGACUGCACCUCUGCAGUGUUCGUAUGGCACCUGUUUGCCAUCAGGGCGACAGCUGGCAUGUGCAGAGGAGUGGAGAUGGGAGCUCAAAGGCAUUCUAUGCACCCAGAAGCAGCCCUAGCCCAUCUUGGGCACUCACAGCCCUUGCUCACAAUGCCAUACCUGACUGUACAAGGACCCCUGUAUCCUACAUAGUUUUAAUGGCUACAGGACAUUCCACAGCAAGGCAGAACGAUACUCAACAAUC